CCUACGGGAGGCAGCAGUGGGGGAUAUUGCACAAUGGGGGGAACCCUGAUGCAGCGACGCCGCGUGGGUGAAGAAGCGCCUCGGCGCGUAAAGCCCUGUCAGCAGGGAAGAAAAUGACGGUAACUGAAGAAGAAGCCCCGGCUAACUACGUGCCAGCAGCCGCGGUAAUACGUAGGGGGCAAGCGUUAUCCGGAUUUACUGUGUGGAAAGGGGGCGGAGACGGCGAUGCAAGCCAGGAGUGAAAGCCCGGGGCCCAACCCCGGGACUGCUCUUGGGACUGCGUGGCUGGAGUGCAGGAGGGGCAGGCGGAAUUCCUGGUGUAGCGGUGAAAUGCGUAGAUAUCAGGAGGAACACCGGUGGCGAAGGCGGCCUGCUGGACUGCAACUGACGUUGAGGCCCGAAAGCGUGGGGAGCAAACAGGAUUAGAUACCCGUGUAGUC
rnacentral:rRNA from 1 species